rnacentral:rRNA from 1 species
UUGCAUCGAAGAUCAUUUUAACUAUAAAGUGAGUGGCGAACGGGUGAGUCACACGUGGGUAACCUGCCCAGAAGUGGGGGAUAACACCUGGAAACAGAUGCUAAUACCGCAUAACAAAAUUAACCGCAUGGUUGAUUUUUAAAAGAUGGCUUCGGCUAUCACUUCUGGAUGGACCCGCGGCGUAUUAGCUAGUUGGUGAGAUAAAGGCUCACCAAGGCAGUGAUACGUAGCCGACCUGAGAGGGUAAUCGGCCACAUUGGGACUGAGACACGGCCCAGACUCCUACGGGAGGCAGCAGUAGGGAAUCUUCCACAAUGGACGCAAGUCUGAUGGAGCAACGCCGCGUGAGUGAUGAAGGCUUUCGGGUCGUAAAACUCUGUUGUUGGAGAAGAACGUGUGUGAGAGUAACUGCUCAUGCAGUGACGGUAUCCAACCAGAAAGCCACGGCUAACUACGUGCCAGCAGCCGCGGUAAUACGUAGGUGGCAAGCGUUAUCCGGAUUUAUUGGGCGUAAAGCGAGCGCAGGCGGUCUUUUAAGUCUAAUGUGAAAGCCUUCGGCUUAACCGAAGAAGUGCAUUGGAAACUGGGAGACUUGAGUGCAGAAGAGGAGAGUGGAACUCCAUGUGUAGCGGUGAAAUGCGUAGAUAUAUGGAAGAACACCAGUGGCGAAGGCGGCUCUCUGGUCUGCAACUGACGCUGAGGCUCGAAAGCAUGGGUAGCGAACAGGAUUAGAUACCCUGGUAGUCCAUGCCGUAAACGAUGAAUGCUAAGUGUUGGAGGGUUUCCGCCCUUCAGUGCUGCAGCUAACGCAUUAAGCAUUCCGCCU